rnacentral:rRNA from 1 species
ACUAUGGCGUAUGGUGGAUGCCUUGACUUCGAAAGGCGAUGAAGGACGUGGCAGGGUGCGAUAAGCUCCGGGGAGCUCCCAAGCAAGCUUUGAGCCGGAGAUUUCCAAAUAGGGAAACCCAGCGCAGUAAAACUGCGCUACCGUCCCCAUGCCGAUUUUGAUCCCGAUGUUGAAUUUGUCCCAAACCGAAAUUGUUUAAAGGGUCUGUUGACCCUUAUGGAAAUAAUUUCGGUCGGGACAUUUUGCAAUUUCGGUAGCAAUAUCGGCAUGGGGACGGCGCCUACCCGCUGAAGUGAAACAUCUCAGUAAGCGGAGGAAAAUAAAUCAAUAGAGAUUCCCGCAGUAGUGGCGAACGAACCGGGAAAAGCCUAAACCAAAAAUAAUGUUUUUACAAAUUUACUGCAGCAAUGCAGUAGCGAGUAAAUUAAAAGUAUAAGCUGUUGUUAUUUUUGGGGUUGCAAGCUGUUAAAUUCUGCGGCUUAUAACGCAGAUAACAAGUUAUAAAACUUUUUCUUAGCAGAAAGCAGCUGGAAAGCUGCUGCCAAAGUAGGUGAGAGCCCUGUAUGCGAAAAGAAAAAAUCUUGUUUAACCAAGCUUAAGUAGGGCAGGACACGUGAAAUCCUGUUUGAAGCUGGGGCGACUAUGCUCCAAGGCUAAAUACUUUCGAAGAUCGAUAGUGAACUAGUACCGUGAGGGAAAGGUUAAAAGCACCCCGGUGAGGGGGAUGAAAUAGUAUCUGAAACCAUACGUUUUCAAGGAGUGGAAGCCGUGCUUCGCACGGAAUGUCUAAUAACUAAUUACUAAUUACUAAUCAAUGACUUAAUGUCUAAUUUAAAAAUUUAAGCAUUAGGAAAUUAUUUAGAAAUUAGAAAUUAAAAAUUGGAAAUUUCGCGCGGAGCGCGGUGACCGCGUGCCUAUUGAAGAAUGAGCCAACGAGUAUAUUUUAUGUUGCUUGUCUAAGUCCUUAAAGGAAAUAGGCAAAGGGAAACCAAGUCUUAAAUGGGCGAUUUGGCAGCAUAAAUAUGACCCGAAACCAGGUGAUCUAGCCAUGGCCAGGAUGAGCUCCGAUGAAAAUCGGAGGGAGGUCCGAACUCACGCGCCGUACAACACGCGGGGAUGAGCUGUGGUUAGGGGUGAAAUUCCAAUCGAACUUGGUAAUAGCUGGUUCUCCUCGAAAUAGCUUCAGGGCUAGCGCCGGCAAAAUAUUUAAUCAGGGGUAGAGCACUGGAUGGGGUUUGGAGCCGCAAGGUAUCCUCCCCAAUCAAACUCCGAAUACUGAUUAAAAUUCCCGGUAGUCAGACUAUGGGGGCUAAGCUUCAUUAGUCAAAAGGGAAACAGCCCAGAUCUCUAUCUAAGGUCCCUAAAUCCAUAUUAAGUGUUAAAGGUGGUGUUUUUUCUCAUACAACCAGGAGGUUGGCUUAGAAGCAGCCAUCCUUUAAAGAUAGCGUAACAGCUCACUGGUCAAGAGAAAAUGCGCCGAAAAUGUAUCGGGGCUAAAUAUGGUACCGAAGAUGAGGGUGUCCCAAUGCCGACAUUGCUUCCGAUGUUGAAUAUGUCUUAAACCGAAAUUGCAAUUUCGGUUUGGGACAUAUUGCAAUUUCGGGAUCAAUAUCGGCACGGGGACGCGGUAGAGGAGUAUUCUGUUAACCUGCGAAGUCCACGACGUGAGUCGGGAUGGAGGAAACAGAAGCAAGAAUGUUGGCAUGAGUAACAAAAAGGCAGGCGAGAAUCCUGCCCACCGAAAGCCUUAGGUUUCCUGGGCAAUGACUGUCAACCCAGGGUUAGGCGAUCCUAAUUGUUUAGCCCAAGGGUUAAACAAGAUGGAAGAACAGGUUAAUAUUCCUGUCCUAUUUUAAAUUUAUCUCAUAAGCGACGUAUUCAAGUGAACGAGCGUCCUAUGGCUAUGACGUUCCCCGACGUAAAGUCGGGGUAGAAGUGAAAGCUCCGGCUGGAUCGAAUUCGUGUAAUUGAAUGCCAAGAAAAACUCAUGGGUUAUGAUUUAAAAUAUCCGUACCGCAAACCGACACAGGUAGGCGGGUAGAGAAUACUCAGGUGUACGAGAGAACCCUUUUUUAAGGAACUCGGCAAAAAAACGGGCGUAACUUAGGGAUAAGCCCUGUCCCGAUAGCGUAAGCUUAUCGGGACUGCAACUAAAGUGUUUCAGGCGACUGUUUACCAAAAACACAGGUUCCUGCUCAAGUCGCAAGACUAUGUAUAGGAGCUGAUGCCUGGCCAGUGUCCGAACGUUAACGUGAGGGGUGAACACUCUGAUGCAAAUCAGAGGACUAGCUCUGAUCCGAAGCGCGGAUGAACGCCGGCGAUAACUAUAAUCGUCCUAAGGUUUUUCGCUAAAGUUAGCGUAAUUUUAGCGAAAAAGGACUGGGACGAUUUAAAAAUAAAUGCUGCCUCAUUUCGCAGUAAUGCGAAAAAUGGUCCUAAAAUAUUUGGCUAUAUGCUGGAAAGUCCCGCCUUGGCGGGAUAAUCAGCAGGAAAGAGCCCGAUUUAACAUUGGGCAAUCCUCAGAGACCACACGCCAAACUUCUUAUAAGUUUGUAAGAAUAAGAUAUGGUCCUUUGCGCAAAGGAAGCAAAAAGCGAAAUUCCUUGCGGGGUAAGUUCCCGCCUGCACGAAUGGCAUAACGGUCUGAAAACUGUCUUAAAAAGGGACUCGGUGAAAUUGCAAUGCCAGUAAAGAUGCUGGCUUCUCACAGUUAGACGAAAAGACCCCGUGAAGCUUUACUACAACUUGAUAUUGAUUUAUUGAACAACAUGUUCAGCAUAGGUGGGAGUCCCGAUUUAUCGGGACAUCAGUGAGAUACCACCCUUGUUAUUUAGUAAGUCUAACCCCGCCCAAGGCGGGAAACAGUAUCUGGUGGGUAGUUUAACUGGGGCGGUUUUCUCCUAAAAAGUAACGGAGAAAUUUACAAAGGUAGGCUAGGCUCGGAUGGAAAUCGAGCUGAUAGGGCAAACCCAUAAGCCUGCUUUACUGCAAGUCCAGCAAGACAAGCAGUUGCGAAAGCAUAAGUUAGUGAACCGAUCACGCCACAUAGGUGGCUGAAAGAUCAUUGAAUAAAAGCUACUCCGGGGAUAACAGGCUAGUCUGGCCCAAGCGUCCAUAGCGACGGCCAGGUUCGGCACCUCGAUGUCGGCUCAUCGCAUCCUGGGGGUGAAGAAGCUCCCAAGGGUUGGGCUGUUCGCCCAUUAAAGCGGUACGCGAGCUGGGUUCAAAACGUCAAGCAACUGAAAAUAAAUUCGGUUUUUUGACGGUUUGAACCCGAGGCAUUAGACAUCCAACACGGCGGCAUUUAAUAGUAAUAUUAAAUGCGAUACUAACUAAUAUCGGUGGAAUCCUAAUAAAGGACAAUACCGAGGGAAUUUUUUUAAGAAGAAGCCCGUAGAGACUAAAUGUUAGACCCCCGCAAACGCGGGGUGAAGUUAUAGUCCAAUGCACUUAGUAAUAAGUGAUUAACAUGC